AUUGAACGCUGGCGGCAGGCCUAACACAUGCAAGUCGAACGGUAACAGGAAGCAGCUUGCUGCUUCGCUGACGAGUGGCGGACGGGUGAGUAAUGUCUGGGAAACUGCCUGAUGGAGGGGGAUAACUACUGGAAACGGUAGCUAAUACCGCAUAACGUCGCAAGACCAAAGAGGGGGACCUUCGGGCCUCUUGCCAUCGGAUGUGCCCAGAUGGGAUUAGCUAGUAGGUGGGGUAACGGCUCACCUAGGCGACGAUCCCUAGCUGGUCUGAGAGGAUGACCAGCCACACUGGAACUGAGACACGGUCCAGACUCCUACGGGAGUCAGCAGUGGGGAAUAUUGCACAAUGGGCGCAAGCCUGAUGCAGCCAUGCCGCGUGUAUGAAGAAGGCCUUCGGGUUGUAAAGUACUUUCAGCGGGGAGGAAGGCGAUAAGGUUAAUAACCUUGUCGAUUGACGUUACCCGCAGAAGAAGCACCGGCUAACUACGUGCCAGCCGCCGCGGUAA
rnacentral:rRNA from 1 species